CCUACGGGUGGCUGCAGUGGGGAAUAUUGCACAAUGGGCGCAAGCCUGAUGCAGCCAUGCCGCGUGUGUGAAGAAGGCCUUCGGGUUGUAAAGCACUUUCAGCGGGGAGGAAGGCGGUGAGGUUAAUAACCUCAUCGAUUGACGUUACCCGCAGAAGAAGCACCGGCUAACUCCGUGCCAGCAGCCGCGGUAAUACGGAGGGUGCAAGCGUUAAUCGGAAUUACUGGGCGUAAAGCGCACGCAGGCGGUCUGUCAAGUCGGAUGUGAAAUCCCCGGGCUCAACCUGGGAACUGCAUUCGAAACUGGCAGGCUAGAGUCUUGUAGAGGGGGGUAGAAUUCCAGGUGUAGCGGUGAGAUGCGUAGAGAUCUGGAGGAAUACCGGUGGCGAAGGCGGCCCCCUGGACAAAGACUGACGCUCAGGUGCGAAAGCGUGGGGAGCAAACAGGAUUAGAUACCCCUGUAGUC
rnacentral:rRNA from 1 species